rnacentral:rRNA from 1 species
CCUACGGGGGGCAGCAGUAGGGAAUAUUGCUCAAUGGGCGAAACCCUGAAGCAGCAACGCCGCGUGGAGGAUGAAGGUUUUCGGAUUGUAAACUCCUUUUGUUAGAGGAGAUAAUGACGGUAUCUAACGAAUAAGCACCGGCUAACUCCGUGCCAGCAGCCGCGGUAAUACGGAGGGUGCAAGCGUUACUCGGAAUCACUGGGCGUAAAGAGCGCGUAGGCGGGAUUGCAAGUCAGAUGUGAAAUCCUAUGGCUUAACCAUAGAACUGCAUUUGAAACUGGUAAUCUAGAGUAUGGGAGAGGUAGGUGGAAUUCUUGGUGUAGGGGUAAAAUGCGUAGAGAUCAAGAGGAAUACUCAUUGCGAAGGCGACCUGCUAGAACAUAACUGACGCUGAGGCGCGAAAGCGUGGGGAGCAAACAGGAUUAGAUACCCCGGUAGUC